rnacentral:rRNA from 1 species
GACGAACGCUGGCGGCGUGCCUAAUACAUGCAAGUUGAGCGCUGAAGGUUGGUACUUGUACCAACUGGAUGAGCAGCGAACGGGUGAGUAACGCGUGGGGAAUCUGCCUUUGAGCGGGGGACAACAUUUGGAAACGAAUGCUAAUACCGCAUAAAAACUUUAAACACAAGUUUUAAGUUUGAAAGAUGCAAUUGCAUCACUCAAAGAUGAUCCCGCGUUGUAUUAGCUAGUUGGUGAGGUAAAGGCUCACCAAGGCGAUGAUACAUAGCCGACCUGAGAGGGUGAUCGGCCACAUUGGGACUGAGACACGGCCCAAACUCCUACGGGAGGCAGCAGUAGGGAAUCUUCGGCAAUGGACGAAAGUCUGGCCGAGCAACGCCGCGUGAGGGAAGAAGGGUUUCGGAUCGUAAAACUCUGUUGGUAGAGAAGAACGUUGGUGAGAGUGGAAAGCUCAUCAAGUGACGGUAACUACCCAGAAAGGGACGGCUAACUACGUG